rnacentral:lncRNA from 1 species
AACAUGAACUGAAGGAAGCUGAACUCUCACACAUUAAGAUGAUUGGAGAAUUUCCAAAUUGGUUGUUGGAAAACAACACAAAAUUAGAAUUUCUUUACCUCGUGAAUGAUUCUCUUGCAGGACCUUUCCGCUUGCCAAUUCAUUCACAUAAGCGGUUAAGAUUCUUAGAUGUCUCCAACAACAACUUCCAAGGCCACAUUCCAGUAGAAAUUGGAGAUAUUUUACCAAGUUUAGUUUAUUUCAACAUUUCCAUGAAUGCUUUGGAUGGUAGCAUUCCCUCCUCAUUUGGCAACGUAAUCUUCCUCCAAUUUCUGGACUUAUCCGAUCAAUAUUCACUUCGUUAAAAAAUCUGUCGAUGUCUGGUUGUGAAGUCAAUGGCGUCCUAAGCGGUCAAGGUAAAAGAAAAGUGUUGAUUGUGAACUCACUCAAUGGUGUCCUACGUGUUCAAAAUUUUUAUUUAUUAAUUUAUUUAUUGUUUAAUGUUUCUGCUAGGUUUUCCUCAUUUCAAGAGUUUGGAACAUUUGGACAUGAGGUUCGCGCGCAUUGCACUCAACACUAGCUUUCUUCAAAUCAUCGGUGAAUCGAUGCCUUCUCUUAAGUACUUAUCACUGUCAGGUUCUACUCUUGGCACUAACAGCAGCAGGAUUCUUGAUCAAGGUUAAUCAGAUGCUCCCACCCUCCCUUCUUAAUCUAUAAUAUUAAUUUUCAAUUAAAUAUUUAAUUACACAAACCAAUCACUUCUAUAUGAAAGAAUACUCUGCAUUUGUUAAUUUUUAUGUUGUAGUGAUGGAUGAAUUAAUAAAUUUUCAGGCCUCUGCCCAUUGGCGCAUCUGCAAGAGUUGUACAUUGAUAAUAAUGAUUUAAGAGGUAGCUUGCCUUGGUGCUUGGCAAAUACGACAUCCCUCCGAAUAUUAGAUGUUUCUUUUAACCAACUUACUGGAAGCAUCUCUUCAUCCCCCCUCGUUCAUUUGACAUCCAUUGAAGAGCUGAGGCUUUCAAACAAUCAUUUCCGGAUCCCAGUUUCACUUGAACCACUUUUCAAUCACUCAAAACUCAAGAUUUUCGAUGCGAAAAAUAACGAAAUAAAUGGAGAAAUAAAUGAGUCACAUUCUUUGACCCCAAAAUUCCAGUUAAAAUCUCUCUCAUUGUCCUCCAAUUACGGGGAUAGUGUCACAUUCCCCAAAUUCCUUUACCAUCAACAUGAACUGAAGGAAGCUGAACUCUCACACAUUAAGAUGAUUGGAGAAUUUCCAAAUUGGUUGUUGGAAAACAACACAAAAUUAGAAUUUCUUUACCUCGUGAAUGAUUCUCUUGCAGGACCUUUCCGCUUGCCAAUUCAUUCACAUAAGCGGUUAAGAUUCUUAGAUGUCUCCAACAACAACUUCCAAGGCCACAUUCCAGUAGAAAUUGGAGAUAUUUUACC